rnacentral:rRNA from 1 species
GACGAACGCUGGCGGCGUGCUUAACACAUGCAAGUCGAACGGUGAAGCGAGUGCUUGCACUCGUGGAUCAGUGGCGAACGGGUGAGUAACACGUGAGUAACCUGCCCAUCACUCUGGGAUAAGCACUGGAAACGGUGUCUAAUACUGGAUACGACCAACCCUUGCAUGGGGUGUUGGUGGAAAGAUUUAUCGGUGAUGGAUGGACUCGCGGCCUAUCAGCUUGUUGGCGGGGUAAUGGCCCACCAAGGCGACGACGGGUAGCCGGUCUGAGAGGGUGACCGGCCACACUGGGACUGAGACACGGCCCAGACUCCUACGGGAGGCAGCAGUGGGGAAUAUUGCACAAUGGGCGAAAGCCUGAUGCAGCGACGCCGCGUGAGGGAUGACGGCCUUCGGGUUGUAAACCUCUUUCAGCAGGGAAGAAGCGAAAGUGACGGUACCUGCAGAAGAAGCACCGGCUAACUACGUG